AGAGUUUGAUCCUGGCUCAGGAUGAACGCUAGCUACAGGCUUAACACAUGCAAGUCGAGGGGCAGCAGGAUCUAGCAAUAGAUUAGCUGGCGACCGGCGCACGGGUGAGUAACACGUAUCCAACCUGCCGAUAACUCGGGGAUAGCCUUUCGAAAGAAAGAUUAAUACCCGAUGGUAUAAUCAGACCGCAUGGUUUGAUUAUUAAAGAAUUUCGGUUAUCGAUGGGGAUGCGUUCCAUUAGGCAGUUGGUGAGGUAACGGCUCACCAAACCUUCGAUAGAUAGGGGUUCUGAGAGGAAGGUCCCCCACAUUGGAACUGAGACACGGUCCAAACUCCUACGGGAGGCAGCAGUGAGGAAUAUUGGUCAAUGGACGCGAGUCUGAACCAGCCAAGUAGCGUGAAGGAUGACUGCCCUAUGGGUUGUAAACUUCUUUUAUAUGGGAAUAAAGUUUUCCACGUGUGGAAUUUUGUAUGUACCAUAUGAAUAAGGAUCGGCUAACUCCGUGCCAGCAGCCGCGGUAAUACGGAGGAUCCGAGCGUUAUCCGGAUUUAUUGGGUUUAAAGGGAGCGUAGGUGGACAGUUAAGUCAGUUGUGAAAGUUUGCGGCUCAACCGUAAAAUUGCAGUUGAUACUGGCUGUCUUGAGUACAGUAGAGGUGGGCGGAAUUCGUGGUGUAGCGGUGAAAUGCUUAGAUAUCACGAAGAACUCCGAUUGCGAAGGCAGCUCACUGGACUGCAACUGACACUGAUGCUCGAAAGUGUGGGUAUCAAACAGGAUUAGAUACCCUGGUAGUCCACACAGUAAACGAUGAAUACUCGCUGUUUGCGAUAUACAGUAAGCGGCCAAGCGAAAGCAUUAAGUAUUCCACCUGGGGAGUACGCCGGCAACGGUGAAACUCAAAGGAAUUGACGGGGGCCCGCACAAGCGGAGGAACAUGUGGUUUAAUUCGAUGAUACGCGAGGAACCUUACCCGGGCUUAAAUUGCAUUUGAAUAUAUUGGAAACAGUAUAGCCGUAAGGCAAAUGUGAAGGUGCUGCAUGGUUGUCGUCAGCUCGUGCCGUGAGGUGUCGGCUUAAGUGCCAUAACGAGCGCAACCCUUAUCUUUAGUUACUAACAGGUCAUGCUGAGGACUCUAGAGAGACUGCCGUCGUAAGAUGUGAGGAAGGUGGGGAUGACGUCAAAUCAGCACGGCCCUUACGUCCGGGGCUACACACGUGUUACAAUGGGGGGUACAGAAGGCAGCUACCUGGUGACAGGAUGCUAAUCCCAAAAGCCUCUCUCAGUUCGGAUCGAAGUCUGCAACCCGACUUCGUGAAGCUGGAUUCGCUAGUAAUCGCGCAUCAGCCAUGGCGCGGUGAAUACGUUCCCGGGCCUUGUACACACCGCCCGUCAAGCCAUGAAAGCCGGGGGUACCUGAAGUACGUAACCGCAAGGAGCGUCCUAGGGUAAAACUGGUAAUUGGGGCUAAGUCGUAACAAGGUAGCC
rnacentral:rRNA from 1 species